UACGUAGGUGGCAAGCGUUGUCCGGAAUUAUUGGGCGUAAAGCGCGCGCAGGCGGUUUCUUAAGUCUGAUGUGAAAGCCCACGGCUUAACCGUGGAAGGUCAUUGGAAACUGGGAGACUUGAGUGCAGAAGAGAAGAGCGGAAUUCCACGUGUAGCGGUGAAAUGCGUAGAGAUGUGGAGGAACACCAGUGGCGAAGGCGGCUCUUUGGUCUGUAACUGACGCCGAGGCGCGAAAGCGUGGGGAUCAAACAGG
rnacentral:rRNA from 1 species